rnacentral:rRNA from 1 species
UACAGAGGGUGCGAGCGUUAAUCGGAAUUACUGGGCGUAAAGCGCGCGUAGGCGGCUUCGCAAGUCGGGUGUGAAAUCCCCAGGCUUAACCUGGGAACUGCAUUCGAGACUGCAUUGCUAGAGUAUGGGAGAGGGAAGUGGAAUUUCCGGUGUAGCGGUGAAAUGCGUAGAUAUCGGAAGGAACAUCAGUGGCGAAAGCGGCUUCCUGGACCAGCACCGACGUCAGGCACGAAAGCGUGGGGAGCAAACAGG